rnacentral:rRNA from 1 species
AUUGAACGCUGGCGGCAGGCCUAACACAUGCAAGUAGAGCGGAGCGGCAGACGGGAGAGUAAUGCCUAGGAAUCUGCCUGGUAGUGGGGGAUCACGUCCGGAAAUGGGAGCUAAUACCGCAAACUAUCUGAUGAGCCUAGGGCGGAUUAGCGAGUGGGUGGGGUAAAGGCCUACCAAGGCGACUAACCGUAACUGGUCUGAGAGGAUGAUCAGUCACACUGGAACUGAGAAACGGUCCAUACUCCUACGGGAGGCAGCAGUGGGGAAUAUUGGACAAUGGGCGAAAGCCUGAUCCAGUCAUGCCGCGUGUGUGAAGAAGGUCUUCGGAUUGUAAAGCACUUUAAGUUGGGAGGCGUUACCCGCACAAGAAGCACCGGCUAACUCCGUGCCAGCAGCCGCGGUAAUUC